UACGUAGGGUGCGAGCGUUAAUCGGAAUUACUGGGCGUAAAGCGUGCGCAGGCGGUGAUGUAAGACCGAUGUGAAAUCCCCGGGCUUAACCUGGGAACUGCGUUUGAAACUACAAGGCUAGAGUGUGGCAGAGGGGGGUGGAAUUCCACGUGUAGCAGUGAAAUGCGUAGAUAUGCGGAGGAACACCGAUGGCGAAGGCAAUCCCCUGGGCCUGCACUGACGCUCAUGCACGAAAGCGUGGGGAGCAAACAGGAUAGAUACCCC
rnacentral:rRNA from 1 species